rnacentral:rRNA from 1 species
AGUCGAGCGGUAACAUUUCUAGCUUGCUAGAAGAUGACGAGCGGCGGACGGGUGAGUAAUACUUAGGAAUCUACCUAGUAGUGGGGGAUAGCUCGGGGAAACUCGAAUUAAUACCGCAUACGACCUACGGGAGAAAGGGGGCAGUUUACUGCUCUCGCUAUUAGAUGAGCCUAAGUCGGAUUAGCUAGAUGGUGGGGUAAAGGCCUACCAUGGCGACGAUCUGUAGCUGGUCUGAGAGGAUGAUCAGCCACACCGGAACUGAGACACGGUCCGGACUCCUACGGGAGGCAGCAGUGGGGAAUAUUGGACAAUGGGGGCAACCCUGAUCCAGCCAUGCCGCGUGUGUGAAGAAGGCCUUUUGGUUGUAAAGCACUUUAAGCAGUGAAGAAGACUCCGUGGUUAAUACCCACGGACGAUGACAUUAGCUGCAGAAUAAGCACCGGCUAACUCUGUGCCAGCAGCCGCGGUAAUACAGAGGGUGCAAGCGUUAAUCGGAAUUACUGGGCGUAAAGCGAGCGUAGGUGGCUUGAUAAGUCAGAUGUGAAAUCCCCGGGCUUAACCUGGGAACUGCAUCUGAUACUGUUAGGCUAGAGUAGGUGAGAGGAAGGUAGAAUUCCAGGUGUAGCGGUGAAAUGCGUAGAGAUCUGGAGGAAUACCGAUGGCGAAGGCAGCCUUCUGGCAUCAUACUGACACUGAGGCUCGAAAGCGUGGGUAGCAAACAGGAUUAGAUACCCUGGUAGUCCACGCCGUAAACGAUGUCUACUAGUCGUUGGGUCCCUUGAGGACUUAGUGACGCAGCUAACGCAAUAAGUAGACCGCCUGGGGAGUACGGCCGCAAGGUUAAAACUCAAAUGAAUUGACGGGGGCCCGCACAAGCGGUGGAGCAUGUGGUUUAAUUCGAUGCAACGCGAAGAACCUUACCUGGUCUUGACAUAUCUAGAAUCCUGCAGAGAUGCGGGAGUGCCUUCGGGAAUUAGAAUACAGGUGCUGCAUGGCUGUCGUCAGCUCGUGUCGUGAGAUGUUGGGUUAAGUCCCGCAACGAGCGCAACCCUUUUCCUUAGUUACCAGCGGGUUAUGCCGGGAACUCUAAGG